GCGUACAUCACCCCGAGCCGUGUGGCUUCCUCUGCGGGGACCGCGUCCCGGAGGGGGGGGGGGGGAGGGGGGCUGUGGCAGAGCCGCAUCGCUGCGCGCGCUUCGCAGCCCCACACGCUCCGCUGGGACUGAACAGCAGCGCCCCCAGCGCCGCACUGCCAGCUCCCAGACGCGGGGAACGCCGUUAAAACUAAUUGCUCUCGGCGCUGCGGAGUAAAGGGGCUCCGGGGAGAGAUUUCACGUAGAAUGAAGAAAUGAGUGUAACCUUCCACUGCCUCUUGAAAACAAGCAGCAGCCAAGGUGCAUUUCUGCUUUUCAGUGUUGCUUUUCCUCAAACCACCACAAGUUAGAAGUAGACAGACACUACUCUGAAAGGACAGUCUAGCAGAAUUUCAGACCAGUUUCCAGAAGCUUCUGUCUCACUUUCCUUAUGAAAGAACUUUGGUGGAGAAGAAGCACGAUCUUCUCACUUUCAUCAGUCCUCUUGCAGAACAGUGGCAAUUCCUAAUCCAAACCAUCAGAUGCUUCAGGAGGAGGUGAAUGUUCUUUAGCACAGCCAGCAUGAUUUAAUGCAACUGUUAAUCCCAUGCUCAACCAGAAAGCAUACAGCCUACUGGAAAGUUGAUUGGAAACCGUGGACAAUUACUAUGUCUAUACCUCAGUAGAGAAGAGAUUCAACAGCUCCAGUGCUAUGAACGCUACGUAUUACCUUAAGAAAUAACAGUCAAACAAAUCCACCAGUGAGCCAAGUGCCAUCCUGUUACAUAGGGACCUCAUUCUCAAAACAGUGAGCUUGCAGACACUGAUUAUUAUUUGAAUAUGCAAGUGCCAAAAAUCACCCUUUGUUUCCUGUUAUGUUUUAUAUUCACCUAAACAAUGAAAAAUAAAGCUUUAAGUCAGUCACUGUUUGGAGAAACCUGCCCAGUACCUGACCAAAGAACAGCCUUCCAAAACAUGGGAGCAAUACCUUUUCUGCUAUGUGUGGCCUUCCGUAGCGGUCACAAAUGAAAAAGCAGACAUUGUAAGAAAGACUUCCCUAUGGCUUGGGACAGUAGGCACCAAUUAUUCUCCUAACCAGAAAAAGCAAGGGGGGAAAAAAGGCUCUGCCAAAUGCGUUCAUAAAAAUCACCAAAGUUUUGGUGGGGUGCCAGAAAGUUGUGGCCUACAAAUGCAAGCAGUUUUGAGCAUCAAGCACUGAAGGUGGAAUAGCCAAAUGGCCUAAAGCAGCGAGGGCAGCCCUGGAAAAUAACAGUCUAGUCAUUAUGGAUACUUCUGGUAAUAAAUAAAACAUGAAUCAUGAUGAACUCAUUGGAUAUUAAAUGUAAGGGUCACAAGUACUUUGAUAGGAUUUCCAAAAGAAUUUACCAUUAAUUAACCAAAUUAUUAUUUGAAAGUGUUACUGAAUUAUCCUUAGUUCUUAUACAGCCAUUCCAGAGAAAUUGGUCAUUCCCAG
rnacentral:lncRNA from 1 species